rnacentral:rRNA from 1 species
AUUGAACGCUGGCGGCAGGCUUAACACAUGCAAGUCGAGCGGGGAAAGGUAGCUUGCUCCCUGACCUAGCGGCGGACGGGUGAGUAAUGCUUAGGAAUCUGCCUAUUAGUGGGGGACAACAUCUCGAAAGGGAUGCUAAUACCGCAUACGUCCUACGGGAGAAAGCAGGGGACCUUCGGGCCUUGCGCUAAUAGAUGAGCCUAAGUCGGAUUAGCUAGUUGGUGGGGUAAAGGCCUACCAAGGCGACGAUCUGUAGCGGGUCUGAGAGGAUGAUCCGCCACACUGGGACUGAGACACGGCCUAGACUCCUACGGGAGGCAGCAGUGGGGAAUAUUGGACAAUGGGGGGAAACCUGAUCCAGCCAUGCCGCGUGUGUGAAGAAGGCCUUUUGGUUGUAAAGCACUUUAAGCGAGGAGGAGGCUACCGAGAUUAAUACUCUUGGAUAGUGGACGUUACUCGCAGAAUAAGCACCGGCUAACUCUGUG